AUAUUUUUAAUCAAAUUUCGUCAAUUAACAUCUUUACACGAAUAUUUUUUGUUUUACACAUAGUAACGGAUUUUUAUUUUAUUUUUUAUUCCUCGAUCGCGCAAAUUCGGCUUUGUGAAUCUGCAGUAAAAACCGGCUGACCGAAAUCCUCUAUCUGUAUACUGCCUUCCUAGUGAAACAAGCAAUAUAUGUUAAAUUUUCAAAAUUGUGGUCAUUUCAAAUUCGAUGUAUUAAGAUAAUUCAGCGAUUUUUUUUCCUUAGGAAAAACACAAUAACUCCACUAAAAAUGCUUUUAAAACGCAUUAUAAAAUGUAUCAACCAAAACAUUGUCAAAUACUUGGGGGAAAUACAGUAUGUACAUUUUUGUAGCAUGUCCUAGAGAAUAAAGCAGUAUGUACAAUGGAUAUAUCGCUUAUUUUUCUAUACUCUAUUCCAAAUUUUACUGAGAAGGCAAGGGAGGCAGUGCCUCACU